GGUUCUAUGGUGUAAUGGCAGCAUGAGAGGUUUUGAUUCUCUAGACCUAGGUUCGAUUCCUAGUAGAACCA
rnacentral:tRNA from 1 species